AGUGAACGCUGGCGGUAGGCCUAACACAUGCAAGUCGAACGGCAGCACAGUAAGAGCUUGCUCUUACGGGUGGCGAGUGGCGGACGGGUGAGGAAUACAUCGGAAUCUACUUUUUCGUGGGGGAUAACGUAGGGAAACUUACGCUAAUACCGCAUACGACCUACGGGUGAAAGCAGGUGAUCUUCGGACCUUGCGCGAUUGAAUGAGCCGAUGUCGGAUUAGCUAGUUGGCGGGGUAAAGGCCCACCAAGGCGACGAUCCGUAGCUGGUCUGAGAGGAUGAUCAGCCACACUGGAACUGAGACACGGUCCAGCCUCCUACGGGAGGCGGCAGUGGGGAAUAUUGGACAAUGGGCGCAAGCCUGAUCCAGCCAUACCGCGUGGGUGAAGAAGGCCUUCGGGUUGUAAAGCCCUUUUGUUGGGAAAGAAAAGCAGCAGGUUAAUACCCCGCUGUUCUGACGGUACCCAAAGAAUAAGCACCGGCUAACUUCGUG
rnacentral:rRNA from 1 species